AAAUACUGUAAUGAAUAUGAGGGAGAAGUACAAUGAUGAGAAGAUGUUAGAAUGACAGUAGAUGAAAGUGAAAGAAGGAACUUUCCAACAGCCUAAUCUACCGUCCAAUAAAAGCUGAUGUCAAGAUUUACUUGUAAUGACUAAUAUGCCCAAAACACAGAAUUUUUGAAUCAAGAAAGCAUGGGGAAAAAGACUUUGCUUUGAAGAGAAGAUAAAGAGGUCUCUAUCUCCAGUUGUGUAUGUAUAUAUGUAUGUAUAUAUAUAUGAAUAUUUGAAUGGAGUGUAUUUAAAUGUUGUGAGAUGGGCCAAGAAAGAAGGAAUAAAAUCAAAUAAAAACCCCAAAUGAUUAAAAUACAAAAUAAUACCU